AAUGAACGCUGGCGGCGUGCCUAACACAUGCAAGUCGGAUGUGCCGCAAGGUGCAUGGCAGACGGGUGAGUAACGCGUAGGGAAUCUACCUUUUUGUGGGGAAUAACGCUCCGAAAGGAGUGGUAAUACCGCAUGAGACCGUGACCUGGGAUGGUUACGGUGAAACCUGGGGACCGCAAGGCCUGGGGCAAAAGAGGAUCCUGCGUCUGAUUAGCUAGUUGGCGGGGUAAUGGCCCACCAAGGCGACGAUCAGUAGCCGGCCUGGGAGGGUGAUCGGCCACACUGGAACUGAGACACGGUCCAGACUCCUACGGGAGGCAGCAGUGGGAAUUUUGCGCAAUGGACGAAAGUCUGACGCAGCAACGCCGCGUGGGUGAUGAAGGUCUUCGGACUGUAAAACCCUGUCGUCAGGGACGAAGGUGGCAGUGUUAAUAGCGCUGUUACUUGACGGUACCUGGAGAGGAAGCCCCGGGCUAACUCUGUGCCAGCAGCCGCGGUAAUCUGAGUCGGAG
rnacentral:rRNA from 1 species